rnacentral:lncRNA from 1 species
GGCAGAGAGCUCUUUGGAUGGGUCUGUGGCCCCAGGUCCUGCUCUCUCAGUCUUCAUCCUGACUUUCAUGGUAUGGCAGGACCCCACUAGGUGCCAGCUUCAAGGAUGGGAAGGAGGGAAGGACUGACGGAUACCACCUCAGAGUGAAACAUGCUGUAGCUGAGCAGCAAGGACAGACCUGCCGGUGACCGACAAGAACCUCCAGUCUCGUCUGAGCAGGACAGUGCCUCUGCUCUGCUCCCUUCCUGCCCUCUGCUGCUG